GACGAACGCUGGCGGCGUGCUUAACACAUGCAAGUCGAGCGGAAAGGCCACUUCGGUGGUACUCGAGCGGCGAACGGGUGAGUAACACGUGAGUAAUCUGCCCCUCACUUUGGGAUAGCCACCGGAAACGGUGAUUAAUACCGGAUAUGACCAUAUGUCGCAUGGCGUGUGGUGGAAAGUUUUUCGGUGAGGGAUGUGCUCGCGGCCUAUCAGCUUGAUGGUGGGGUAAUGGCUCACCAUGGCUUCGACGGGUAGCCGGCCUGAGAGGGUGACCGGUCACACUGGGACUGAGACACGGCCCAGACUCCUACGGGAGGCAGCAGUGGGGAAUAUUGGACAAUGGGCGGAAGCCUGAUCCAGCAACGCCGCGUGAGGGAUGACGGCCUUCGGGUUGUAAACCUCUUUCAGUACCGACGAAGCGCAAGUGACGGUAGGUACAGAAGAAGCACCGGCCAACUACGUG
rnacentral:rRNA from 1 species